rnacentral:lncRNA from 1 species
CUCAUGAAUUUGCCUCUCUACGCGUGACCAGUGACACCGUUGAGAGCUAAUGUGGCUUAAAGGAAUAUUGUUUCCCUGUUUGGAUCACCCAGGCAUCACCCAGCAUGAGUCCUAUGGGCAACAUCCUACCUGGGAUGUGUCACAUGCCAUUCUUCUGAUUUUCAUGAAUAUCCUCUAAAAGGCAGCUAAGCACUCGCUGUCUUCUUCCUUUUGCCUCAUCAAGCACGGGGGACGCUGGAAGGAAGAGGUAAUGAAGCUGAUGCUUAGAGAGGUUGAGUAAUCCACCCAUGUCUCUCUGACCCAGGUCUGACCACCAUACUAUUGCCUGCAGAUGAAGAGGAGCAACAUAUUGUAUCCUGUGUUGCUCAAGAGAGCAGAAUUAGGACUUAGAAUAGCCUUCUAAGAAUUGCUCUGUGCCACCAAAUGGGUGGCAGACUUCUAGACAAGUUUUCUAAACUUGUCAGCCUCAACUACAAGUGAGCUGGUGAGAGAAAACAAACAUCACUAUCCAGGGGCUUUUGCUGGACUUACUGAAUGUAACAGAGAUCGGAUUGGAUUGUCUCUAAUGUCUGUUUCACGAAUAGAGUUCUGUAAAUAGUCUGUCUUUUCUGAAGCCAUUGUAUUUUCAGUAUUAGGUCAUUUAGUUGACUGAAAGUGUGUAUUCUGUAAAGAGAGAAAGGGAUGGGGAGAGAAAGGAGACUGUUACUUUUAUUUUCAUGUCCUUUGCUCUCCCACAUGCAUACUCCACCUCUAGCUCUUACACUCAAACAUCUACACUUGCAGCUUACUGUAGAUGCCACUGUCCUUUUCCACAUUUGCACAAGUAGAUUUCUCACUCCCAACCCUUAUUUUGAAAAUAAGGUGUUUCUACAUCUUUCAUUUUAUUUUUAAAAAUAAAAGUUGGACCACAGUUUAGAUAUAUUAAUCACUUUUCCCAGAACUCAUGUUUGGUCAUCUAAAAGCCUGUGUCUAAAAGUUGUGAGGAAUAGUUGAAGCUUUCAUCAAUGUAAAGGUUGGGUAAUACUCUACUGCCAAAAGUAGUUAAUUAAUUUCUGCAGAGUUAAGGUAGUAGAAAUGGGAGCUCUCAUCUGUUUUGAGAAAUGUGUACAAAAUUAAUGUUUUCCCAGAGAAGCAUUUUCCAAUGUCUCCAUCUAAUUUGGCUCCAUUCUGAAGAGAAGCACAAUGAUGCUUCAGCAACUUGAAAUUUUACUAAGUGAACUAACUAAUCCUGCCUUUGAAACAGUGGACUGGGGCUCAAAAGACAAGCUUCUUAGACUAAUACUGGGCACUUUCUCUUUUCUCACUCUCUCUUUAUUCCCUUUUCUUUCUCCUUCUCUUGUUCCAUCUUUUCACUUUGGAAACUAUUAGGUUUCAAAAAUGCAUCUGUAGCUGUUUAUUUUACAUGUGCCUGAUUUUAUGAGUUUAUGGGCUCCUGAAAAUUAAAUUAAUUUUAAAUGAGCUUUAAUUACUAAUGCUUUGGGCCAUUGCCUUUAACAAAGUCAACAUAACAAUCAGGGUUACCUUAGUUUGUCUCUUUGAAGAAUGUAGUCAUUCAUUUGGGCUCUUAUUGAGCAGAGCAGCUUUCUAACUGGAAAAACAAAUAAAUAAAAUAAAACCACU